rnacentral:rRNA from 1 species
UAAUGCAUAGGUAAUCUACCCUUGAGUGGGGGAUAACUCCGGGAAACNNGUGCUAAUCCCGCAUAAUGUCCGGAUGCGCAGGUAUUCGGAUCAAAGGGGGGGGUCCUUCGGGACCUCAUGCUUGAGGAUGAGCCUAUGUCCUAUUAGCUAGUUGGUGAGGUAACGGCCCACCAAGGCAAUGAUGGGUAGCCGAGCUGAGAGGCUGAUCGGCCACACUGGAACUGAAACACGGUCCAGACUCCUACNGGAGGCAGCAGUGGGGAAUUUUGCGCAAUGGGCGAAAGCCUGACGCAGCGACGCCGCGUGAGGGAUGAAGGUCCUAGGAUCGUAAACCUCUGUCAGGAAGCAUUAAAUGUGCGGAUAUCAACACCAUCCGCGCUUGACUUUAACUUCCAAA